rnacentral:rRNA from 1 species
AGAGUUUGAUCAUGGCUCAGGAUGAACGCUAGCGGCAGGCUUAAUACAUGCAAGUCGAGGGGCAGCAUGAGUGUAGCAAUACACUUGAUGGCGACCGGCAAACGGGUGCGGAACACGUACACAACCUUCCUUUAAGUGGGGAAUAGCCCAGAGAAAUUUGGAUUAAUACCCCGUAACAUUAUGAUGUGGCAUCACAUUAUAAUUAUAGCUCAGGCGCUUAAUGAUGGGCGUGCGGCUGAUUAGAUAGUUGGCGGGGUAACGGCCCACCAAGUCUGCGAUCAGUAACUGGUGUGAGAGCACGACCAGUCACACGGGCACUGAGACACGGGCCCGACUCCUACGGGAGGCAGCAGUAAGGAAUAUUGGUCAAUGGACGCAAGUCUGAACCAGCCAUGCCGCGUGGAGGAUGACGGCCCUCUGGGUUGUAAACUCCUUUUAUCUGGGAAGAAAUGCAGGUAUUCUUACCUGUUUGACGGUACCAGAGGAAUAAGCACCGGCUAACUCCGUGCCAGCCGCCGCGGUAAUAC